rnacentral:misc_RNA from 1 species
AACGCAAAUUGCACUCUCCGGUUUUCCGGGAGAGUAUGCCUGUUUGAGGGUCAGCCUAAAUAAAAUCGGCUUCGUUGCUGUGUUUUUUCGCGGUAAUGCUUGUCGGAAAUUGGGUCAUCUUAUUUUUUAAGUGGCUUAAAAUUUUUUACGAUUCUACGAACGUUUCUAAGAAUGUAUUUCUUUUUCACGUUCAAGGUAUCAUCCCUUAUAUUAGACGUGGCCGUCACAUCGGAUCCCGUCCAUAAAUAUUUUUCUUUUACUGACCUCAGACAGGUAAGAGUACCCGCUGAACUUAA